rnacentral:rRNA from 1 species
UACGGGGGGGGCAAGCGUUGUUCGGAAUUACUGGGCGUAAAGGGCUCGUAGGCGGCCAACUAAGUCGGACGUGAAAUCCCCAGGCUCAACUUGGGAACUGCAUCCGAUACUGGAUGGCUUGAAUUCGGGAGAGGGAUGCAGAAUUCCAGGUGUAGCGGUGAAAUGCGUAGAUAUCUGGAGGAAUACCGGUGGCGAAGGCGGCAUCCUGGACCGACAUUGACGCUGAGGAGCGAAAGCUAGGGGAGCAAACGGG